CCCAUUUUAUUUACCGAGGCCAGAGCCAUAUAUAUAGAGAGUUGCGACAACCCGUAUCAAGGGCGCCAUUUUGUUUCCAUGCGCGCUACGUAAAAAAUCUGUCUAAAAUCAUACUAGGCUACUGCUGUUUCUACAUUAAAGUGAGUUUUACGUUGCUACUUGUUGCAACUAUUGGACUAUGAUUUACUUCUUCAGAAGCUCGAUUUGUGUCGUUUCCUGAUCAUCGUGGUUUCGGGAGAGACGUUGUAUUGUUCAAACAACCGAUCUGAACAGUUCUGACGCUCUUCAAGGAAAACCUCGCGCUUUGGCCUCGGAAUUCCAACAUUUAUAGCCGUGUUGUUCUGUACGCGUUUCUUUCUGCAAUGAAUGGUAUAAAUAAAACGAUGGCUCAUCAUCAGAAGCUCAAGUUACAAAAGUGCAACUGCAGGGUACCUGCUUGUCAUGAAAUCAAACCACCGGUUAAACACAUCCAGAAACCAAGCAGUAGAAAGAUAUUCAUUUCCUCGGCCUUCUUCUUUCACAAGGUGUAAUGGACACAAAACUACAGUUCAAGUUGUUUGCUUUAACAACAUCAUCAGGUGAGGAACAUCAGCGAGAAAAUAUAACCAUUUGGUUGGACUUUGAGGAUGUACUACUUUGCUAACAGUAUUGCAGUGUCUUCCAGUCAUGAGGCCAAAGCUUUUCCACAGUGCUCGGUUUGCAGAUCCCAUGUCACUAGUCACAGCUAUGACAUUUAAGCCUAUCUUUGCAGCACAUUCAAUAAUUCCAGCACAAUUGGUUUCAUUACAGUUCCGUCAGUGGAGUUUCCUGUGAAAUGGUAUGCUACUGUCUGUUUCCACCGUGAUGACAGUCCUCCCAACAUAAACACAAGAGCAUGAGUGGCACUACCACAAUGACCAGGCAAAGUCACAUUCCCAAGCAAUUGUCCACUACUUGCAUCAUACUCAAUACUAGGUGUAAUGGACAUUUCAUCUAAUGUGAGACAGCAGACUCUUUCCUCUUCACACAAAUUAUUUACCUUCACUGCUAAAAAUGACCACCGAAUUCCUUGCAUUCCUCGGGACAAUGCUAGCAGCUGAUCUUCAGCAAACAGUUUUUUAAUCUUUGAUUCCUGACUUGCCAUUUGCUUAGCAAGUGCAUUAUUUCUUCUUGUAAUUUUGUGCAGUUUGGCUCUUGAAACUUGUAAUUUGGCUUUCAAUUUUACGACUUCUCUAGCUGUUGUAGAGGAAUCAAUUGAAAGGGUAUUAGAUUCAUCCACAUCUAUAUCUAGAUCUGCCACACUGGUUUCAUA